rnacentral:rRNA from 1 species
CCUACGGGGGGCAGCAGUGGGGAAUAUUGGACAAUGGGGGCAACCCUGAUCCAGCAAUUCUGUGUGCACGAAGACGGUUUUCGGAUUGUAAAGUGCUUUCAGCAGGGAAGAAGUAAGUGACGGUACCUGCAGAAGAAGCGACGGCUAAAUACGUGCCAGCAGCCGCGGUAAUACGUAUGUCGCGAGCGUUAUCCGGAAUUAUUGGGCAUAAAGGGCAUCUAGGCGGCCUGACAAGUCAGGGGUGAAAACCUGCGGCUCAACCGCAGGCCUGCCUUUGAAACUGACAGGCUGGAGUACCGGAGAGGGGGACGGAACUGCACGAGGAGAGGUGAAAUUCGUAGAGAUGUGCAGGAAUGCCGAUGAUGAAGAUAGUUCACUGGACGGUAACUGACGCUGAAGUGCGAAAGCCGGGGGAGCGAACAGGAGUAGAUACCCCUGUAGUCC